rnacentral:rRNA from 1 species
GAUGAACGCUGGCGGCGUGCCAAAUACAUGCAAGUCGAGCGAACAGACGAGGAGCUUGCUCCUCUGACGUUAGCGGCGGACGGGUGAGUAACACGUGGAUAACCUACCUAUAAGACUGGGAUAACUUCGGGAAACCGGAGCUAAUACCGGAUAAUAUAUUGAACCGCAUGGUUCAAUAGUGAAAGACGGUUUUGCUGUCACUUAUAGAUGGAUCCGCGCCGCAUUAGCUAGUUGGUAAGGUAACGGCGUACCAAGGCAACGAUGCGUAGCCGACCUGAGAGGGUGAUCGGCCACACUGGAACUGAGACACGGUCCAGACUCCUACGGGAGGCAGCAGUAGGGAAUCUUCCGCAAUGGGCGAAAGCCUGACGGAGCAACGCCGCGUGAGUGAUGAAGGUCUUCGGAUCGUAAAACUCUGUUAUUAGGGAAGAACAAAUGUGUAAGUAACUAUGCACGUCUUGACGGUACCUAAUCAGAAAGCCACGGCUAACUACGUG